GGCCACAGCUCCUCCCACCUGUUUUAUUGUUCCUGCUGGACUUUCCACCUGGAACGCUUACCUCUGCAUCUCCGGUGGUGUAGGAGGAGGUCUGGUGGAGAGUCAGGACUUUCACUAUCAGCCAGCAGUAAUAAAACCAUGCCACCCAAGUGUUAAUGGAGACCACCUGGGGAGCCAGAGCUCCUACCACUGCCAGGAAGUAACAAGGAACUCUCCCCAUAACCUGCAUCAUCACUUUUGGUGUCAAGAAAGGCUCAGUGGGAAAUCUGGCCUUUUACCUCCAUUUGCCAGUGACAAGCAAGUGCUAUUCCUCCCCCUGCUGAAGUGGCAUUAAAGAAAUGAAGUUAAAACAAGAGGUUUAAAUGAGAUCUAAAGGCUUAUCACUUAAUAAAAAGUGUUCAAGAUUCAAUUUAAAAAACUCACUUUUCAUACCAACAGCCAGAAAGAUCUCAAACUGAAUGAAAAACAAUCAAUAGAGGCCAAUGCUAAAAUGACAGAGGUAUUAGAAACGUCUGACAAAGAUUUUUAAAGUGACCAUGAUAAAAAUGCUUCAAUGUGCAAUAUAAACAUGCUUGAAACAAAUAAAAAAAAGACAAUCUCAGCAAA